rnacentral:rRNA from 1 species
GUGCAGCAGUCGCGAAUUUUUCUCAAUGGGGGCAACCCUGAAGGAGCGACGCCGCGUGGAGGAUGAAGGCUUUCGGGUUGUAAACUCCUGUCAUUUGGGAACAAGGCCCCGAUAUUAACUGUAUCGGGGUUGAUAGUACCAGAAGAGGAAGGGACGGCUAACUCUGUGCCAGCAGCCGCGGUAAUAUAGAGGUCCCAAGCGUUGUUCGGAUUCAUUGGGCGUAAAGGGUGCGUAGGUGGCGCUGUAAGUCGGGUGUGAAAUUUCGAGGCUUAACCUCGAAACUGCAUUCGAUACUGCAGUGCUUGAGGACUGGAGAGGAGACUGGAAUUCAUGGUGUAGCAGUGAAAUGCGUAGAGAUCAUGAGGAAGACCAGUGGCGAAGGCGGGUCUCUGGACAGUUCCUGACACUGAGGCACGAAGGCCAGGGGAGCAAACGGGAUUAGAUACCCCUGUAGU